GACGAACGCUGGCGGCGUGCUUAACACAUGCAGGUCGAACGGAAAGGCCCUGCUUUUGUGGGGUGCUCGAGUGGCGAACGGGUGAGUAACACGUGAGUAACCUGCCCUUGACUUUGGGAUAACUUCAGGAAACUGGGGCUAAUACCGGAUAGGAGCUCCUGCUGCAUGGUGGGGGUUGGAAAGUUUCGGCGGUUGGGGAUGGACUCGCGGCUUAUCAGCUUGUUGGUGGGGUAGUGGCUUACCAAGGCUUUGACGGGUAGCCGGCCUGAGAGGGUGACCGGCCACAUUGGGACUGAGAUACGGCCCAGACUCCUACGGGAGGCAGCAGUGGGGAAUAUGGCACAAUGGGCGGAAGCCUGAUGCAGCAACGCCGCGUGCGGGAUGACGGCCUUCGGGUGGUAAACCGCUUUCGCCUGUGACGAAGCGUGAGUGACGGUAAUGGGUAAAGAAGCACCGGCUAACUACGU
rnacentral:rRNA from 1 species